CAUAGAAGUAGACUCCACAAAGAUACUUUGGAAGCAUUGAUGUGUACACAGAGUUGGUUACGAAAUAAAAUAGAAGAACCAAUCACAAGUGGAACAAGUCUUUCAACCAUUGAGAGUGAUGCGGAUGAAGAAGAGUAGUGAGAAAUGACUAAUGAGCAAGAGCUUGUAGCUGCUACUUAAUGAUCUAAAAUUAUGGAGCACCUUUUUUGUC